UACGGGGGGGGGCAAGCGUUGUUCGGAAUUACUGGGCGUAAAGGCGCGUAGGCGGCCUGUUAAGUCACACGUGAAAUCCCUCGGCUCAACCGGGGGAACUGCGUGUGAUACUGGCGGGCUUGAAUUCGGGAGAGGGAUGUGGAAUUCCAGGUGUAGCGGUGGAAAUGCGUAGAUAUCUGGAGGAACACCAGUGGCGAAGGCGGCAUCCUGGACCGAGAUUGACGCUGAGGCGCGAAAGCCUAGGGGAGCAAACGGG
rnacentral:rRNA from 1 species